rnacentral:rRNA from 1 species
AUGCAGUCGAGCGAUGGAUUGAGAGCUUGCUCUCAAGAAGUUAGCGGCGGACGGGUGAGUAACACGUGGGUAACCUGCCCAUAAGACUGGGAUAACUCCGGGAAACCGGGGCUAAUACCGGAUAACAUUUUGAACUGCAUGGUUCGAAAUUGAAAGGCGGCUUCGGCUGUCACUUAUGGAUGGACCCGCGUCGCAUUAGCUAGUUGGUGAGGUAACGGCUCACCAAGGCAACGAUGCGUAGCCGACCUGAGAGGGUGAUCGGCCACACUGGGACUGAGACACGGCCCAGACUCCUACGGGAGGCAGCAGUAGGGAAUCUUCCGCAAUGGACGAAAGUCUGACGGAGCAACGCCGCGUGAGUGAUGAAGGCUUUCGGGUCGUAAAACUCUGUUGUUAGGGAAGAACAAGUGCUAGUUGAAUAAGCUGGCACCUUGACGGUACCUAACCAGAAAGCCACGGCUAACUACGUGCCAGCAGCCGCGGUAAUACGUAGGUGGCAAGCGUUAUCCGGAAUUAUUGGGCGUAAAGCGCGCGCAGGUGGUUUCUUAAGUCUGAUGUGAAAGCCCACGGCUCAACCGUGGAGGGUCAUUGGAAACUGGGAGACUUGAGUGCAGAAGAGGAAAGUG